GCAGGCACAAGCGAUGCAGCCACAUCCAAUGGUCCAGCAGCCGCAGGUACAAGCGAUGCAACACCCGCUUGGGCCUAUCGUUCAGUAACUACUAUCACUGGUGCAACAGUUGCAUGCACUUGAAUCAGUGCACCAACCUGGACUGGUGCCGCAAUUAGGACCGGAGCCACUGCUGCCGCUUGGUCCCAUCGUCCAACAGUUGCUGUCCCUGGUGCAACAGUUGCUUGGAUUUGGACCGCCGCAACAACCUGCAGGAGUGGUGUCGCCUCAUGGCCAGACAGUACUUGUGCCGCCGCCAGAACCUGAGCCACUAGGACCGGUUGGACCAGAGCAAUUAGGACCGGCGGCACCGGUGCAGCAGCAGCAGUCACCUGGACAUGCUUGAGAUAAGAAUCCCCGGUGAGUCAGUUUUUCAUGAAGAGUCUUGUGCCACCUAAAAGUGUUUUAAUCAAUUGCAUACUGAUUUCUUACUUGAAUCUCUAUUUCUCAUCUUUCUUGCUUUUUCAUAAUUCAUUGAAUUUGAGUCUUGAACAAUAUCUUUUAAUGAUAAAUGGAAAUAAGGGAAAUUUUGUUAUGAUUAUUCAUUGUUGAGUUUUGAUUGUAAUAUUUGCAGGUACGAGGAGUAUAUUGACUACCUUUUCCAUGAAGAUGAAGAUGUUUGAAUGUUGAAG
rnacentral:lncRNA from 1 species